ACCUUGAUUUUGUAUGUAACCCCCAAGGAGAUUACAUAGAUUCCCGGGACCCUGUCUGCUGGCAGCUCAGGGAGAGGAAAGGGGUCCCUGGUAAGGAGGGGGAGCCAAGGCAGACUUAGAGUCUGCCCAGCAACCAAUAGGGAGUGAGAGGCCCUCCCAGGGAGUUGAGAAAAGGGGCAAAGCCAUUUUGGAGUCAGUCUAGAGUCAGCCAGGAAAAGGGCAGGACUGGCUGUGUGGGGGAGCUGGGAAGAAUCCGUGGAGGUUUUUCAUUAUCCCAUGAAUUUAGUUUGGAGCUGCUUGUGGCAGGAUUAUGUAUUAUUGUCUCAAGAGCUAAGAAAAAUGAACUGGUGAGAGAGAGACUGAGCCAGUGAUGCCCCAGCUCUUGGAGUCAAGUGGAUGUGUGAGGAAUUCAG